rnacentral:rRNA from 1 species
AUUGAACGCUGGCGGCAGGCCUAACACAUGCAAGUCGAACGAGACGCGGACGGGAUAGCAAUGACUGGGCAACGUCCUGAGGGAGGGGGAUAGCUAAUGGAAACGAAAGCUACUUCCGCAUACCAUAGCCUGUGCCCGGUUGGGAUGAGCUUGUUGGUGGGGUAACGGAUCACGAAGGCGACGAUCCCGAGCUGGUCUGAGAGGAUGACCAGCCACACUGGAACUGAGACACGGUCCAGACUCCUACGGGAGGCAGCAGUGGGGAAUAUUGGACAAUGGGCGCAAGCCUGAUGCAGCCAUGCCGCGUGUAUGAAGAAGGUCUUCGGGUUGUAAAGUACUUUAAGUGGGGAGGCGUUACCCGCAGAAGAAGCACCGGCUAACUCCGUGCCAGCAGCCGCGGUAAUUC